UACGUAGGGUGCAAGCGUUAAUCGGAAUUACUGGGCGUAAAGCGUGCGCAGGCGGUUUGUUAAGACAGAUGUGAAAUCCCCGGGCUUAACCUGGGAACUGCAUUUGUGACUGGCAAGCUAGAGUAUGGCAGAGGGGGGUAGAAUUCCACGUGUAGCAGUGAAAUGCGUAGAGAUGUGGAGGAAUACCCGAUGGCGAAGGCAGCCCCCUGGGCCAACACUGACGCU
rnacentral:rRNA from 1 species